UGAGGUUAGGAGCUUGAAAACUUUAAAACAGAGCAACUGAUGGAUAAAUCAGGAAUAGACUCUCUUGACCAUGUAACAUCUGAUGCUAUGGAACCUGCAAAUCAAAGUGAUAACUCUUCUGAUAGCAGCUUAUUUAAAACUCAGUGUGUCCCUUACUCACCUAAACGGCGGCAAAGAAACCCCAUUAGAAAAUGUGUUGGUACACCUGGAAAUGUUCAAGCAAGUGAUUCAUCAAGUGACUCAUCUUUUGAACCAAUACCAUUGACCAUGAAAGCUAUUUUUGAAAGAUUCAAGAACAGGAAAAAAAGGUACAAAAAAAAGAAAAAGAGGUACCAGCCAACAGGAAGACCAAGGGGAAGACCAGAAGGAAGGAGAAAUCCUUUAUGCUCGCUGAUAGAUAAGAAGAAACAGUUUAGAAGUAGAGGACCUGGCUUCCCAUUUUUAGAAUCAGAGAAUGAAAAAAAGCCACCUUGGAAAAAAAUUUUAACGUUUGAGCAAGCUGUUGCAAGAGGAUUUUUUAACUACAUUGAAAAACUGAAAUAUGAACACCAUCUGAAAGAAUCCUUGAAACAAAUGAAUGUUGGUGAAGAUUUAGAAAAUGAAGAUUUUGAUAGUCGUAGAUACAAAUAUUUGGAUGAUGAGGGAUCCAUUUCUCCUAUUGAGGAGUCAACAGCAGAAGAUGAGGAUGCAACACACCUUGAAGAUGACGAAUGUGAUAUCAAAUUGGCAGGGGAUAGUUUCAUAGUAAGUUCUGAAUUCCCUGUAAGACUGAGUGUAUACUUAGAAGAAGAGGAUACUACUGAAGAAGCUGCUUUGUCUAAAAAGAGAGCUACAAAAGCCAAAAAUACUGGACAGAGAGGCCUGAAAAUGUGACAGAAUCAUGAAUGUCAAAGGCUUUUAUCUUGAGAACAUGAUGUCUGGAGUUAAAGGUAUUGGCAUAUUUCCACACCUGUACUAUUCUUGAGUGUAACUGCUUAGGAAUGAAUAUGAUUUGAACUCAUUCAUGUUGAAAGGUAAGUAAAAUAUUUAACUUAUAAUAGUCAAGGACUGAAAAUGAAAAAUAGAAGUUAAGUACAUCAUCCCAAUUAUUUCAGGUAUAACACAGAAUUAGAUACUGGCAAAAAUAUUUAUCACUAUGUAUCUACUAUAAAUUUUUAUAUAUGGAUUUUCUACUUGAAGCAUACAGCAUUAUUUUGAAUCUGCAUAAUCUAAAAUGAGGUAGAGGAUGUCAUGGUUUAAUGCAAGAUUUAGUAUAAUAGAAAUGGGCAGAUAGAUUUCCUUAUAUAUAUAAAUUUAUAUAGAGAAGGAAAUAAAUGAAAAGACUGCAUUGUCUAGACUACCAAAUGAAACUUUUCUUUGCAUCAUUAUUCAACUGGCAGUUACACGUAUUUCAUCCUGAAGUCAUGUAAACCGGGAUGGAUAUGUUGAAUCUAAACAAAUUUUGCCUAAUUUGCAGUUUGAGCAACAAUGAGCUUGAUGUGGCCAGGCACCGUGGCUGAUGCCUGUAAUCCCAGCACUUUGGGUGACAGAGGCAUGCAGGUCACCUGUUAGGAUUUUGAGACCAUCCUGGCUAUCACGAUGAAACCUCGUCUCUAAAUGAGCUUGACGUUUGUAAUAUCUGUUAAGUUACAUGUAUGUAUUCCAUCUGUAAGUUAUAUAGAGAGACUGGGCAAAGAGAGUUGUAGCUUUAAAAUGCAGUUAAUGUAGUUUUCUGUAUUACAGUGACAAUUAGGAAUAAAGGUCAAAAUAUUGAACCUGUUAGAGGAAUCUGAAAUUGAGAGGUUUGUGAAAGCAUUUCUCAGCAGCAACAUUGCAAAUUUGGGGCUACGAAAGUUGUACAGUUCAGUUAUUAUUGCACUGCAUGGUAUCUGCACUCAGCAGUUUAUUCCUGCUAGGGUGUUCAAAGGUCAGUGCUAUAGAAAUUCAGUAUCUGGCAUCGUUGGUUUUCUUGGCUUUGUGCUUGUUAAACCUGGUAUUUCUAUUGAUACAGUAUUUGUAUAGGUUUCUCAGAGUGUUCAUUCUGAUAUACUCUAAAACAGUAAGCAGCGCUUUUCUUUUUCCAGGGUGUCAAAUUGGAACCAGGCAGAUCCACCACCUACACACAAUAAAAAGUUCAACUUCUAGGACCCUAAAGUAAAUUGGUUGAAGAAAGUAGAUCCCAAAGAUUCUUGGUGAAUUUUGAAGUCUUCAUCAGUAUAUCCGUAUUAAAAGGAGAUGACAGAAGC